rnacentral:rRNA from 1 species
UACGGAGGGUGCAAGCGUUAUCCGGAUUCACUGGGUUUAAAGGGUGCGUAGGUGGGCAAGUAAGUCAGUGGUGAAAUCUCCGGGCUUAACCCGGAAACUGCCAUUGAUACUAUUUGUCUUGAAUACUGUGGAGGUCAGCGGAAUAUGUCAUGUAGCGGUGAAAUGCUUAGAUAUGACCCGGAACACCGAUUGCGAAGGCAGCCCACUAAGCAAUGAUUGACGCUGAGGCACGAAAGCGUGGGGAUCAAACAGG